AUUGAACGCUGGCGGCAUGCCUUACACAUGCAAGUCGAACGGUAACAGGUCUUCGGAUGCUGACGAGUGGCGAACGGGUGAGUAAUACAUCGGAACGUGCCUAGUAGUGGGGGAUAACUACUCGAAAGAGUGGCUAAUACCGCAUGAGAUCUAAGGAUGAAAGCAGGGGAUCGCAAGACCUUGUGCUACUAGAGCGGCCGAGGGCAGAUUAGGUAGUUGGUGGGAUAAAAGCUUACCAAGCCGACGAUCUGUAGCUGGUCUGAGAGGACGAUCAGCCACACUGGGACUGAGACACGGCCCAGACUCCUACGGGAGGCAGCAGUGGGGAAUUUUGGACAAUGGGCGCAAGCCUGAUCCAUCAAUGCCGCGUGCAGGAUGAAGGCCUUCGGGUUGUAAACUGCUUUUGUACGGAACGAAAAGCCCUGGGUUAAUACCCUGGGGUCAUGACGGUACCGUAAGAAUAAGCACCGGCUAACUACGUGCCAGCCGCCGCCGUAACAC
rnacentral:rRNA from 1 species